rnacentral:rRNA from 1 species
AAUGAACGCUGGCGGCGUGCCUAACACAUGCAAGUCGAGCGAGAAAUUCCGCUUCGGCGGGAGAGUACAGCGGCGCACGGGUGAGUAACGCGUGGGUAAUCUACCCUUGAGUCCGGAAUAACACACCGAAAGGAGUGCUAAUACCGGAUAAGACCGCAGCUAUUUUUGUGGCAGCGGUAAAAGGUGGCCUCUCCAUGGAAGCUAUUGCUUGAGGAUGAGCCCGCGUCCUAUCAGCUUGUUGGUAGGGUAAUGGCCUACCAAGGCUAAGACGGGUAGCUGGUCUGAGAGGACGACCAGCCACACUGGGACUGAGACACGGCCCAGACUCCUACGGGAGGCAGCAGUGGGGAAUAUUGCGCAAUGGGGGAAACCCUGACGCAGCGACGCCGUGUGAGUGAUGAAGGCUUUCGGGUUGUAAAGCUCUGUCAGGUGAGAAGAAAUUCUCUAUGGCUAAUAUCCAUAGGGAUCGACGGUAUCACCAGAGGAAGCACCGGCUAACUCCGUGCCAGCAGCCGCCGUAAGAC